rnacentral:rRNA from 1 species
UACGAAGGGGGCUAGCGUUGUUCGGAAUUACUGGGCGUAAAGCGCACGUAGGCGGGUUUGUAAGUAGGGGGUGAAAUCCCAGGGCUCAACCCUGGAACUGCCUUCUAGACUGCAAGCCUGGAGGUCAGGAGAGGCGAGUGGAAUACCGAGUGUAGAGGUGAAAUGCGUAGAGAUCCGGAGGAACACCAGUGGCGAAGGCGGCCGCCUGGACCUGACCUGACGCUGAGGCGCGAAGGCGCGGGGAGCGAACGGG